rnacentral:rRNA from 1 species
AACGGAGGUGGCGAGCGUUAUCCGGAUUUACUGGGCGGAAAGCGUGUGCAGGUGGCCUGUUAAGUGGUGUAUGAAAUCGCCCGGCUCAACCGGGCGGGGUUAUGCCAGACUGGCAGGCUAGAGGGUGGGAGAGGGAUGUGGAAUUCCGGGUGUAGUGGUGAAAUGCGUAGAGAUCCGGAGGAACCCCAGAGGCGAAGGCGGCAUCCUGGCCCACGACUGACACUCAGACACGACAGCAUGGGGAGCGAACGGG